AACGAACGCUGGCGGCAGGCCUAACACAUGCAAGUCGAGCGAGGACUUCGGUUCUAGCGGCGGACGGGUGAGUAACGCGUGGGAAUGUGCCCUUCUCUACGGAAUAUCCCUGGGAAACUGGGAGUAAUACCGUAUACGCCCUAUUGGGGAAAGAUUUAUCGGAGAAGGAUCAGCCCGCGUUGGAUUAGGUAGUUGGUGGGGUAAUGGCCUACCAAGCCGACGAUCCAUAGCUGGUCUGAGAGGAUGAUCAGCCACACGGGGACUGAGACACGGCGCAGACUCCGACGGGAGGCAGCAGUGGGGAAUGUUGGACAAUGGGCGAAAGCCUGAUCCAGCAAUGCCGCGUGUGCGAAGAAGGCCUUCGGGUGGUAAAGCACGUUUGUCCGGAAAGAAAUACUUGGCCCGAAGACGGUCGGGGGAUGACGGUACCGGAAGAAUAAGCACCGGCUAACUACGUG
rnacentral:rRNA from 1 species